rnacentral:tRNA from 1 species
GAAUAUGAAGCGAUAAAUUGCAAUUAGUUUCGACCUAAUAAUAGAUAUUUAGUUAUCCAUACUCU